GGGUGAGUAAUACAUCGGAACGUGCCCAGUAGUGGGGGAUAGCCCGGCGAAAGCCGGAUUAAUACCGCAUACGACCUACGGGUGAAAGCGGGGGAUCGCAAGACCUCGCGCUAUUGGAGCGGCCGAUGUCAGAUUAGCUAGUUGGUGGGGUAAAAGCCUACCAAGGCGACGAUCUGUAGCUGGUCUGAGAGGACGACCAGCCACACUGGGACUGAGACACGGCCCAGACUCCUACGGGAGGCAGCAGUGGGGAAUUUUGGACAAUGGGGGCAACCCUGAUCCAGCCAUGCCGCGUGCGGGAAGAAGGCCUUCGGGUUGUAAACCGCUUUUGUCAGGGAAGAAACGGUCUGCGCUAAUACCGCGGACUAAUGACGGUACCUGAAGAAUAAGCACCGGCUAACUACGUGCCAGCAGCCGCGGUAAUACGUAGGGUGCAAGCGUUAAUCGGAAUUACUGGGCGUAAAGCGUGCGCAGGCGGCUUUGCAAGACAGAUGUGAAAUCCCCGGGCUCAACCUGGGAACUGCAUUUGUGACUGCAUGGCUGGAGUGCGGCAGAGGGGGGUGGAAUUCCGCGUGUAGCAGUGAAAUGCGUAGAUAUGCGGAGGAACACCGAUGGCGAAGGCAAUCCCCUGGGCCUGCACUGACGCUCAUGCACGAAAGCGUGGGGAGCAAACAGGAUUAGAUACCCUGGUAGUCCACGCCCUAAACGAUGUCAACUGGUUGUUGGACGGCUUGCUGUUCAGUAACGAAGCUAACGCGUGAAGUUGACCGCCUGGGGAGUACGGCCGCAAGGUUGAAACUCAAAUGAAUUGACGGGGACCCGCACAAGCGGUGGAUGAUGUGGUUUAAUUCGAUGCAACGCGAAAAACCUUACCUACCCUUGACAUGUCUAGAAGUUUCCAGAGAUGGAUUCGUGCUCGAAAGAGAACUAGAACACAGGUGCUGCAUGGCCGUCGUCAGCUCGUGUCGUGAGAUGUUGGGUUAAGUCCCGCAACAAGCGCAACCCUUAUCAUUAGUUGCUACGCAAGGGCACUCUAAUGAGACUGCCGGUGACAAACCGGAGGAAGGUGGGGAUGACGUCAGGUCAUCAUGGCCCUUAUGGGUAGGGCUACACACGUCAUACAAUGGCCGGUACAGAGGGCUGCCAACCCGCGAGGGGAAGCUAAUCUCAGAAAACCGGUCGUAGUCCGGAUCGCAGUCUGCAACUCGACUGCGUGAAGUCGGAAUCGCUAGUAAUCGCGGAUCAGCUUGCCGCGGUGAAUACGUUCCCGGGUCUUGUACACACCGCCCGUCACACCAUGGGAGCGGGUUCUGCCAGAAGUAG
rnacentral:rRNA from 1 species